rnacentral:rRNA from 1 species
UACGUAGGGUGCGAGCGUUAAUCGGAAUUACUGGGCGUAAAGCGCACGUAGGCGGCUUUGUAAGUUAGAGGUGAAAGCCCGGGGCUCAACUCCGGAACUGCCUUUAAGACUGCAUCGCUUGAAUCCAGGAGAGGUGAGUGGAAUUCCGAGUGUAGAGGUGAAAUUCGUAGAUAUUCGGAAGAACACCAGUGGCGAAGGCGGCUCACUGGACUGGUAUUGACGCUGAGGUGGCGAAAAGCGUGGGGAGCAAACAGG